GGAAACUAAGAUACGUAUUGGUAUUUGGUAGAGAAACGAAAGAGGGAAGGGAGAGUUUGCGGCUGCAACACUCCACCCCACCAAUCUUGCCGAAGAACAAUCAAGCAUCAAACUUCUUGUGGCUCCGACAGGUUUGUGAUCUUAGAAUACGAACAGGAGUCUGAGGCAAAAACUCUUGUUUCAAAGAAGGCCGAGAUGGCGAUGUUGGUUUCCAAGUUAGAGGAGAACAUCAACAAUCUUAUACAUGCUUCAAAUCAAUCUGAAAACAAAAUGCAAGAUUUAUUGCUGAAAAUUUCAACAUUAGAAUCUGAGAACCAAGAUAUUGAAGAGAAAUCACAGGCAAAGCUACUAGAGAAAACAGACAAAAUAGAAACUCUUGAGAGAGAGAUUGGCAAGCAUUUGGAGCUUGUGGAAUUCCCUUGAGAAAAAAAUCAGCCAGCUUCAUGGCAGUUCAAAAGAGAAAGAGCAGCAACUUCUGCAAUCAAUAGACAGAGGGAAACAGUUAGAAGAUAAAAAAGAAGAGGUUUACAUACACUACUUGAUCAAAGACCAAAGAAGAGAGAGUGUAGCUGGGUCAUAAUGCAGACAUGGAAGAGUUAUUUCUGGGAAACCUUCUUCUUUGGAUUCUGGCACUCCAAAGUGAAGGUCUGGGGGUAGGAAAAAUUGUGGCUGCUGUAUCAGCACUUGUUGUUGUGUUAAUUGUUCAUGGAGUUACUAGCCUAGAGAGAAUGGUACCUGUCUUGAGAAUAAAAGAAGGUUUGGAUGUUCUGCAGUUUAUAAGGAGUGCAAGAUUCAGUUCAAAUGGGAUUUCUUGAUAUAAGGUAAAUAAUUCCAUUGAUGUCUAUGUGCACUGGUUUAGAUUGCUUAUUGGGAAUUGCAGGAUGGUUUGUGAUGGACUAGUUGUGGAGCUACUUGGUGAACCAUAUAUCUUAGCUCUUUCAAGGAUGCAGCGAAUGCUACCUCUUAGCUUGGUCUUCCCUCACGCCUAUUCAAUCUUUGCAUUGGUGAUUUGGAGGACAUACAUUCUCACCAAUAUCUCAAUUCGUGAAGAUGCCCAAUUUUACCAAUCAUUAGCAUUGGCAAUUGCUAAUGCAAUCAAGCACCAACCUUUCAGGGAUGUACGUGUACGAGAUACUCAUGCCCUCUGUGAUCUCCUAGCUUCUGAUGUUGGUGAUACUGAGUUUGUUGCAAUGCUUGAAAUGCAUGGUCUUGACAAACACUUGAAAACCAAGGCAUUUGUUACCCUUAAUGUGAGGUUUUUCCUAAAUGCAGUCCUUGAUUGUAAAAUGCCACUGUCUGCAACACCACAGGAUUCGUAACAGAGGGAGCUCUUGUUGAUUUAAUCAAA